CCUUCGGGUGGCAGCAGUGAGGAAUAUUUGUCAAUGGGCUUACGCCUGAACCAGCCAAGUCGCGUGAGGGAAGACUGCCCUAUGGGUUGUAAACCUCUUUUGUCAGGGAGCAAUUGGCGCUACGUGUAGCGUUCUCGAGAGUACCUGAAGAAAAAGCAUCGGCUAACUCCGUGCCAGCAGCCGCGGUAAUACGGAGGAUGCGAGGGUUAUCCGGAUUUAUUGGUUUUAAAGGGUGCGUAGGCGGAAUGCCAAGUCAGCGGUAAAAUCGCGGGGCUCAACCUCGCUCCGCCGUUGAAACUGGCGGUCUUGAGUGGGCGAGAAGUAUGCGGAAUGCGUGGUGUAGCGGUGAAAUGCAUAGAUAUCACGCAGAACUCCGAUUGCGAAGGCAGCAUACCGGCGCCCAACUGACGCUGAAGCACGAAAGCGUGGGUAUCGAACAGGAUUAGAUACCCUUGUAGUC
rnacentral:rRNA from 1 species